rnacentral:rRNA from 1 species
UACGUAGGCAGCAAGCGUUGUUCGGAGUUACUGGGCGUAAAGAGUGCGUAGGCGGUCCUGUAAGUUUGGUGUGAAAUCUCCCGGCUCAACUGGGAGGGUGCGCCGAAGACUGCAGGGCUUGAGUAUGGGAGAGGUAAGCGGAAUUCCUGGUGUAGCGGUGAAAUGCGUAGAUAUCAGGAGGAACACCUGUGGUGUAGACAGCUUACUGGACCAUAACUGACGCUGGAGGCACGAAAGCCGUGGGUAGCAA